rnacentral:rRNA from 1 species
AUUGAACGCUGGCGGCAUGCCUUACACAUGCAAGUCGAACGGCAGCACGGGAGCAAUCCUGGUGGCGAGUGGCGAACGGGUGAGUAAUAUAUCGGAACGUGCCCAGUCGUGGGGGAUAACGUAGCGAAAGCUACGCUAAUACCGCAUACGAUCUAUGGAUGAAAGCGGGGGAUCGCAAGACCUCGCGCGAUUGGAGCGGCCGAUAUCAGAUUAGGUAGUUGGUGAGGUAAAGGCUCACCAAGCCGACGAUCUGUAGCUGGUCUGAGAGGACGACCAGCCACACUGGGACUGAGACACGGCCCAGACUCCUACGGGAGGCAGCAGUGGGGAAUUUUUGGACAAUGGGCGAAAGCCUGAUCCAGCAAUGCCGCGUGAGUGAUGAAGGCCUUAGGGUUGUAAAGCUCUUUACCCGGGAUGAUAAUGACAGUACCGGGAGAAUAAGCACCGGCUAACUACGUGCCAGCAG